rnacentral:rRNA from 1 species
CCUACGGGUGGCAGCAGUGGGGGAUAUUGCACAAUGGGGGGUACCCUGAUGCAGCGACGCCGCGUGGGUGAAGGAGUGCUUCGGCAUGUAAAGCUCUGUCGGCAGGGAAGAAGCAAGACGGUACCUGACUACGAUGCCCCGGCUAACUACGUGCCAGCAGCCGCGGUAAUACGUAGGGGGCGAGCGUUAUCCGGAUGCACGGGGUGUAAAGGGAGCGUAGACGGCCAAGCAAGUCAGGGGUGAAAGCCCGGGGCACAACCCGGGUACUGCCCUUGGAACUGGAUGGCUGGAGUGUGGGAGAGGCAGGCGGAAUUCCUGGUGUAGCGGUGAAAUGCGUAGAUAUCAGGAGGAACACCGGCGGCGAAGGCGGCCUGCUGGACCGUGACUGACGUUGAGGCUCGAAAGCGUGGGGAGCGAACAGGAUUAGAUACCCGAGUAGUC